rnacentral:tRNA from 2 species
GGGGCGGUAGCUCAGCUGGGAGAGCACCUGCUUUGCAAGCAGGGGGUCACGGGUUCGAUCCCCGUCCGCUCCA